rnacentral:rRNA from 1 species
ACUCAAAUGAAUAGACGGGGGCCCGCACAAGCGGUGGAGGAUGUUGUUUAAUUCGACGCAACGCGAAGAACCUUACCUGGGCUUGAACUGCAGAGUAAACUCCUGGAAACAGGAGCUGUGGCAACACGAUUCUGUAGAGGUGCUGCAUGGCUGUCGUCAGCUCGUGUCGUGAGAUGUUGGGUUAAGUCCCGCAACGAGCGCAACCCUUGUCGUCAGUUGCCAGCGUGUAAUGACGGGAACUCUGACGAGACUGCCGGUGACAAACCGGAGGAAGGUGGGGAUGACGUCAAGUCCUCAUGGCCCUUACGUCCAGGGCUACAAACGUCCUACAAUGGCCGAGACAACGGGUCGCGAAAUCGCAAGGUUAAGCUAAUCCCUUAAACUCGGUCCCAGUUCAGAUUGCAGUCUGCAAUUCGACUGCAUGAAGUUGGAAUCGCUAGUAAUCGCAGAUCAGCACGCUGCGGUGAAUACGUUCCCGGGCCUUGUACACACCGCCCGU